CAAACUACACGUGCACUGGUAUCCAUGGUUACGACCCGGCUUUGCGGGUCAAGUUAGUUGUUCAGUUUUAUUACUGUAUAAGAUAAUCUGGUUUCCUAUCAUUUAUUGUCAUAAUUAUGUUGUUAUUCUAUUUUUACAGCGAUUGACAUUUUGUCUUUAAAACCCUUGUUCCCAUACUAUAGUCUGCUUACCUCACCUCGGGGGUUUCACGUGCGUGUGCACGGCAGGAUUUACUGGAACAGAUUGUACCUCUGAAAUUGACGAAUACGCAAGUUCAACACUCACAUGUAUCCAUGGCAACUGUACCGAUAACGUCAAUGGCUACCGAUGUCUGUGUGAUGCAGGAUAUGCAGGCCUUCAUUGUGAAUCAAAUGUCGAUGAGUGUGCCAGCUCACCGUGUAUCCAUGGGAACUGUACUGAUGACGUCAAUAGUUUUCACAGCUCAUGUGACGUCGGUUUCAGUGGCUUAACUUGCUCAUCA